GGCACUUGCGAGUGUUGUAUAUCUGGGGCUCGGAGGGGCCGUUUCGGUACCAAAUCCGAACCACCCCUCCGCCGCCCAAAACCUUCGGGCGGCCGCACCGCCACACUCGCCUCCAUCUCCGACGAGCCCAGCUCCCCCCGCUCCACCGAAAUUGCAGCGUUUCCCCGCCUCGUCCGGUUCCGGUGGUCACCGCGGUGGCCAGGGCGGAAGCGGUAGGCCCUUCGGCCGAGGCACCCACCCCCUCCCCUCGAGGAGACGGCGGAGGAAUGCGCCGCCCGCAUCCGAGCCGAUGGAGCACGGAAGCGAGGGGCCCGCCGCUGCGACUUCUGCAGGGAGGGGGCGGGGGGCUCCUCGGAGGCAGCCUCCAGGAUUCGGAGGCAGAGGCGCCGUCAUUAGGGGAAGAAAGCAGCAGAUUGGGUACCUCGUUGUGGUCCUCCUGCAGAUUUUCGAAUUAAGAUCAAGUGAUCCAAAGAAUUGACAACUAAACAGACAUAACAAAAGGGAAACCGACAUCUAGGGAGAGAAGGACGUCAGCCAAGUCAGAGGAACAGCAUACAACAAACACUACAGAAAGAGAAACUGACAUAUCAUUCUUUGCUAUCACCUCUCCCAGCAGCACGGGCAGCACCUAGUGCAAUCCUCACGCCAGACGAAGCCACCAUCGCAAAUCCCCAUUGAGUCCCAGCAGCUUCAACAGAAAACUUCAGUAUACAGCAAACACCCAGCAAUUCGUUGUAAUGGACACCAUCCUCUAGCCGCAUCAAACACUUCUAGCCGCAUAUGACGCUAUCUAUUUCACAAGGUUACAUAAAAAUCGUUGUCUCGAUGUCACUUUUGUCCCUUGGAUGCACGUCCAAUAGAGAUCACCAGCAUUUGCAUUGUGUUAUGUGUUUUCUACCCAAAUAUCAAUGUGAGAUAUUUGAACCAAAGAUUUACCGGUGGUGAGCCUGGGUCAUUGACUCAUUGGGACCUUACGGGGAGAAAAGGAAUGAAAAGAGAGGAAAUUUAGCGGUUGACACGGAGGAGUGGUGGGAUAUUCCGAAUUUCCGAUAGAUACACAAACUCAAGGAUAGAGCUAACCGAGCCAUCUUCUUCUCCCGUGCUUCAACCUCCAGAGGGGUAUUGAUGCCUACUGCUUGUACUCGCAGUCUCGCAGAGCCAUAACAAAGAUAUUUUCUUUCUGUAGUCACCUGAAAUUUCGGGCUGCUUUCUUCUCGCGAAAUACGUACCCUCUGAUCCUAAAUUGUUGUCGAAAUAUUACAUGUACCUAGACGCUUUUUAAAAAUAGAUACAUUCAUAUUUGA